rnacentral:lncRNA from 1 species
AUCACGGCCUAAAACAUGUGAGUAUUCACUCGAGGAAGUUAGGCUGCUUUCAAGAAUUGGCGGUCUCCUAAAAGUCAAAAC